AUACGGAGGGUGCAAGCGUUAAUCGGAAUUACUGGGCGUAAAGCGUACGUAGGCGGUUCGUUAAGUUAGAUGUGAAAGCCCCGGGCUCAACCUGGGAACUGCAUUUAAAACUGGCUUGCUGGAGUUGAGUAGAGGGGAGUGGAAUUUCAGGUGUAGCGGUGAAAUGCGUAGAGAUCUGAAGGAACACCAGUGGCGAAGGCGACUCCCUGGACUCGAACUGACGCUGAGGUACGAAAGCGUGGGUAGCAAACGGGAUUAGAUACCCUAGUAGUCC
rnacentral:rRNA from 1 species